AUACCAUGAAUAUUAUAAUUUUAUCCUCUCUUGCUUUGCAGUAUCAGAUAAAUUUCUAAUAUAUACUUAUCAUAUUUUAUGAUAAUGUAACAAGUGUAUUUAUUAAACGACUUAAUUAACUUUUAAGUAAUCAAGAGUAAUAUUUUAUUAUUAUUUUACUACCUAUUUCUAGACUAUUUAAUUUUCUUUUUUCAUGUAUGCUAUAAAUACUAGAAAUGCCACAAACAUUUGAUAACUAUAUGGUAUUUGACCUAUUCGGCCACUUUUGCUGAAUAUUCAGUAUUCGGCCAUUACCACUAUUCAAAUCAUUUUUAUCAAAUACUUGUGUUAUUUGUAUUAUCUAGGUCAAUUAAAUAACAUUCUAUCCUUUACUUGUACUCAAAACCACCACGCACUUUACAGUCCAGGUAGAGAAACCCUCGACGCAUCGACAAUUUUUUUUUAGAGACCCGAACAUGUGCACUCAACUUGUCCUUAAACUUUUGCGUCUAUUGUCUCAAUUUUUUUAUCACCGGCCGCUACGGUCGCAACAUUCUAAGUUUUAUUAUUUCAACAUGUUUUUGUUUUAAUGAAUUUUUCCAUUAACUUAAACCCAAGUUUAAAAAAAAAUCUCAGUAAUAAAUCAAAGAUCAUUAUUAAUAUAUCGGUAAAUGUUUUUUUUUUGUACAAUGAAUUGUAUUUAAUAUUUUAUUUCAAUUAAUUUCUUUACUGGCAACAUCAGUAAAUACUGAGUAUUUCCCUUGUUUUGUCUAUGGCGUCGCUAGAGUAUAGCGCUAGUGGCGCCCCCUAGCAUAAACCAUAGGUCAAUUUGUUAUACACAAAGCCAAACUCUUUUUGAAGUGCUAGGUUGUGAUUGUGACGUGUACAUUAUUUUUCUUUAAAAUGAGACUUACUAAGAUUGACCUUUUAAUUUGUGAGUUUCCAAUAAUUUGGGAUAGUAACGAAUUAUAUACUAUGGAGAUAAAUUUUUGGCCGAACUAGCUCGCCAGGUCUUAUUAAAACUGUGCAAAAAUGUAAAACUUUUUUUUAAUUCAAAUAUUUUGACUAUGAAAAUAAGAAAUUUCAAGGAUCGCCUUCGCAGAUUUAAGGUAUAACUACAAUUAUAUGUAUGUUUUGUCAAUUAUUUUAUUUUAAUAAUCUUUUAAUUAUUAUUACAAAACUUUUUUAAUGUUAAAAGAAAACAUUUCUUAAUACAGAAAAAUUAAAUCGCCAAAAGAAAAUGUUUCCGAUUUAGUAUAAAUAUAACUGAGUCCUCCCAUUACGCAGACAUCAUUGUUGAAGAACAUCAAGACCAAAUUUCAAUAAGUUUAAUUAAUUCAUCGAUAGCAUAUGAUUAAUAUUUUUUAUUUAUAAUUCAUUCAAUUAAUCAUACUUAUUUCUUUUUAAUUUUUCAGGCUCUAAUGAAUGAAUCCGGGUCGCUGGAUGAGUUGGGUGACCCUGAAUCUACCCUUUAGGUAAGUAAUACACUAUUCUCUUUACUCUCUUUUUUUCCAGAACAUUUUUUCCUAAAAAUGUCAACUAGGUAGGACACGUUCAGUUAUUUCAGUAUAUAUUAGUUUACCGUAAUGUUAAUUUAAACUACAUAUUUAGAUUAUAUCUAUGCUAUAAUACUAUCCUGUUGCCAUUAUGUUAUUAGUUCAUUAUAUAUAGGUAUGAUGAAAAAAAUUUAACUCAUUGGCCUACAAUCUAUUCUUUUUUCUUCUGAAGUCUGUUCUGUUUGCACUAUAGAUACUGAUAAGAAAGUGUUGUUACGCCUACUUACUUGUUUUAAGUGAACUCUAUUGCCUAUAUAAUAUGAAUGAAAUUUGAUAACACAAAACAAAACGUAUUAAGGAGUACCUGCGACCUUUUUUUUCGACCCUUUAAGUGGCCAAACGCGUCUCGCCUUGAGCGUCAGCUAUUUUUAACACAUGUAUUAAUUUUACGGUUUUCAAAUUUUUGCUUAAAUAUGAUUUCAGAUACGUAAGGCGUUUUUGAGUAAGCUGAUAUGUAAUUAGUCCUCCUAAUUAUAUUAUGACGACAUUUUAUAAAUGUUCCAAGUAACGAGGUAUCGAGUGCCAUUGAAUGCUGUCCUGUUAUUUUAUUUUGAGCUAAACUACCACAUUCAGCAUCUCUACACUCGACCCGCGACCCCAAGAACCAGUGUUCUACUCUAGACUUGGUAAUAUUAGUCCCUACAAUGCAAGUUACAUCGGUACAGUGCAGCCAAGAGGAGAAAAAAUUAUAUUGAUAAUAUUAUAAUAUAUAGAUAUAAUUUAAAAAAAUUCAAGAAAAAUCCAAAUCAUAUUGUUCACAUUCCAGUUUUCUUACGGCAGCAAAAAUGUAGCCGACGAGGCUACUCUAUGUAAUAAACUAUUUAUAUAUAUAAUCCUGGUCAUUCCGGCACCAAAAAUGUACCUUACCCCAUCUACUACUAAACUAAUUAACUAAAAUUCAACCAGGAUUAAAUAAAAAUAGGAAAAUAAAUAAAUUUUGGCCAUGUGAUCGUCUAGUGUAUUUACGUUGUGAACCUUAGUACCCUUCGUCUUUUAUGUGAAAACUGAUACGAUUUGGAUUUUUCAAAACUAUCCCUAAAUAUCCUUUGAAUUUGUAAACACUCCUAC